CAGCACCUCAAGUGGUCAGGAUGAUUAUUGGGCCUAAAGCAUCCGUAGCCGGCGCUGUAAGUUUUCGGUUAAAUCUGUACGCUCAACGUACAGGCUGCCGGGAAUACUGCAGCGCUAGGGAGUGGGAGAGGUAGACGGUACUCGGUAGGAAGGGGUAAAAUCCUUUGAUCUAUUGAUGACCACCUGUGGCGAAGGCGGUCUACCAGAACACGCCCGACGGUGAGGGAUGAAAGCUGGGGGAGCAAACCGGAUUAGAUACCCGAGUAGUCC
rnacentral:rRNA from 1 species